ACAGUCUGGCCUGCCCACUGAAUUAUUAAAGGGCCGCGGUAUCUCUGACCGUGCGAAGGUAGCAUAAUCAUUAGUCUUUUAAUUGGAGGCUUGUAUGAAGGGUCGAACGAGUGAUAAACUGUCUUAACAAAAAAUAUUGAAAUUAACUUUAAAGUGAAAAGGCUUUAAUGUCUUAGAAAGACGAUAAGACCCUAUAAAUCUUUACACUACAUUUAGUAUUAAGCCAAUUUAUUUGUUUAAGGAAAAAUACUAAAAAAGCGUUUUGUUGGGGCAACAAAGAUAUAAAUUAAAUAACUGUUUUUCUUUACACACAAAAAUUCUUGAAAUAUAUUGAUCCUCUCUAGAGAUUAAAAGAUUAAGUUACUUUAGGGAUAACAGCGUUAUUUUUCUUGAGAGUCCUCAUCGAAAGAAAAGUUUGCGACCUCGAUGUUGAAUUAAAAUUUCUUCCUAGUGCAGCAGCUAUGAGAGAAAGUCUGUUCGACU
rnacentral:rRNA from 1 species